rnacentral:rRNA from 1 species
AUUGAACGCUGGCGGCAGGCCUAACACAUGCAAGUCGAGCGAGCGGCGGACGGGAGAGUAAUGUAUGGGGCCUGCCCGCUAGAGGGGGAUAACUACUGGACACGGUGGCUAAUACCGCAUACUAUCGGAUAACCCAUAUGGGAUUAGCUAGUAGUUGGGGUAAAGGCUCACCUAGGCGACAAUCUCUAGCUGGUCUGAGAGGAUGAUCAGCCACAUUGGGACUGAGACACGGGCCAGACUCCUAAGGAGGCAGCAGUGGGGAAUAUUGCACAAGGGGCGCAAGCUUUAUGCAGCCAUGCCGCGUGUAUGAAGAAGGCCUUAGGGCUGUAAAGUACUUUCAGCGGGGAGGCGUUACCCGCAGAAGAAGCACUGGCUAACUCCGUGCCAGCAGCCGCGGUAAUUC